rnacentral:rRNA from 1 species
ACGGGUAGCCGGCCUGAGAGGGUGACCGGCCACACUGGGACUGAGACACGGCCCAGACUCCUACGGGAGGCAGCAGUGGGGAAUAUUGCACAAUGGGCGCAAGCCUGAUGCAGCGACGCCGCGUGGGGGAUGACGGCCUUCGGGUUGUAAACCCCUUUCGGCAGGGAACAAGCCCCUUGGGGUGAGGGUACCUGCGGAAGAAGCGCCGGCUAACUACGUGCCAGCAGCCGCGGUAAUACGUAGGGCGCGAGCGUUAUCCGGAAUUAUUGGGCGUAAAGAGCUCGUAGGCGGUUUGUCGCGUCUGCUGUGAAAGCCCGGGGCUCAACCCCGGGUCUGCAGUGGGUACGGGCAGGCUGGAGUGCAGUAGGGGAGACUGGAAUUCCUGGUGUAGCGGUGAAAUGCGCAGAUAUCAGGAGGAACACCGAUGGCGAAGGCAGGUCUCUGGGCUGUAACUGACGCUGAGGAGCGAAAGCAUGGGGAGCGAACAGGAUUAGAUACCCUGGUAGUCCAUGCCGUAAACGUUGGGCACUAGGUGUGGGGGCCAUUCCACGGUUUCCGCGCCGCAGCUAACGCAUUAAGUGCCCCGCCUGGGGAGUACGGCCGCAAGGCUAAAACUCAAAGGAAUUGACGGGGGCCCGCACAAGCGGCGGAGCAUGCGGAUUAAUUCGAUGCAACGCGAAGAACCUUACCAAGGCUUGACAUGUGCCGGACCGUCCCAGAGAUGGGGCUUCCCUUCGGGGCCGGUUCACAGGUGGUGCAUGGUUGUCGUCAGCUCGUGUCGUGAGAUGUUGGGUUAAGUCCCGCAACGAGCGCAACCCUCGUUCCAUGUUGCCAGCACUUCGGGUGGGGACUCAUGGGAGACUGCGGGGUCAACUCGGAGGAAGGUGGGGACGACGUCAAAUCAUCAUGCCCCUUAUGUCUUGGGCUUCACGCAUGCUACAAUGGCCGGUACAAAGGGUUGCGAUACUGUGAGGUGGAGCCAAUCCCAGAAAGCCGGUCUCAGUUCGGAUUGGGGUCUGCAACUCGACCCCAUGAAGUCGGAGUCGCUAGUAAUCGCAGAUCAGCAACGCUGCGGUGAAUACGUUCCCGGGCCUUGUACACACCGCCCGUCAAGUCACGAAAGUCGGUAACACCCGAAGCCGGUGGCCCAACCCCUUGUGGGAGGGAGCCGUCGAAGGUGGGACUGGCGAUUGGGACUAAGUCGUAACAAGGUAGCCGUACCGGAAGGUGCGGCUGGAUCACCUCCUUUCUAAGGA